UUCUUUUGUCCUUACAUGUGUUAUGCCUUCAUAUCAAGUGCAGGAUCUUUUUAUUGACACUUGUAAAUGUUUUAUGUUAGGCACCCUCAUUGGCAGUAGACAAGUGGAGCCAAGGGGGAAGAGCAUGGGCACUGCAAUUGACAGUGAGCCCACUGUAAUUGAUCUCUUCAAUGAGUUGCAUUGCAGCAAACUAAAGGUUUUAGUGAACCUGUAAAGAAAGCUAUAGAGGAUAUGCAUGCCCGGGAAACCCUCACUUCAUCAUCAGGGCCUCCUUCGACAAAUGAUAGCAUUUGGACAGGGUCUGAUCAGUCCUCCCUAAGCUAGUUGUAUGCUCAGGAAUGAGGUGGCUGAGCUUGGAAUUUGAUGGCUCGUGUUAGUGUAGUUGAACUUCGAGGCUGUGAUCGCUUUUGGUACUUCAGAACUUGGUGGUGUAUGUGGCUGCUAUUGUAUGGUGUAUGUGGCUGCUAGAACUUGGUGCUAGCUGCUGGUUGCUUGCGGGUUGGCACUUUUGGUGGCUGGAGUUUUUUUUGCGUUGGUUGCUAGAACACAGGAUUUUUUGGCACUAGUUGUUGGCUGCUGGUAGGAUGCAGGCCGAAAGUGCAGUGGCUGCUUGGUGGAAUUUUUUUCCUGGCUGCUGGCAAGAUGCACGCCAAAACUUAGUAGUGGCUGCUAGGUGGAAUUUUUUUGGUGCAGGAACUUGACACUACCUGUAGGAACUUCAUAGUCGGCUGGGACUUGUGUAGUUGGAUGGUGGAUGGAAUAUUUUGUAUUCAUGUUUCGUGCUUUUGUAUGGAACAUGUUGGAAACUGUAUUCUGGAACUUGCUUUUGUAUGGGCUGGAAAAUUAAUUAUGGCUGGAAUGUGAUUAUAAUAUGAUUAUGCAAAUGGUUGUGGUUUA